GCGGGUUAGAGUCGGGGCUUUGGCCGGGUGCGGGCUGUGACUGAGUGCUAGAGAGUCAGACCGCGUCGGGUCCGGGCUUUAGCACCCGCGGGUCGAGUCGGGUUUUACUUUGCAGGCCCGUUGAGACUCUAGACCGCGUUAAAACCUCAACAGGAUACAGCGGGAGGACAUAUGUAAUUUAAAGUGAUCAUUUCAGUGGAUUCAGGCUGGCUCUGCACGGGCUGGCUGCCUUUUGGCGCUAAACGUCGACCGAGUCCUCUCGCAGGGAGCGAACUGCCGCUGUUUCGGUUUAACUGGUGACCGUGUUAACUGGUGACUUCACGGAGGCGUUCUCCUAAAAAGACUUUAUAGUUUAAUCAUUUAUCAUCUGUCUUUAAUAUCUAAGUAUCUAACCAUUUAUGUAAGUUCAGUUGUGUUCAGAAGACGUAUUAACCUCUCGUAACAUCUUAAAAUGUGAGAAAGUCACCCGUUAACACGGUCACCAGUUAAACCGAAACACCGGACUCUAGUCCACCUGGACCAGGUGGUCUCGGUCGAAGAGGCACACCGUUUCCGUGCCUGUUUUGGUGGCUUCGCUUUGUAAACGCAAACUAUCCGAAAUGUGAAACAAUGUGUGAAUUCUCCCAGCUAGUGCGGACUGUGUGAGGAUGUGGCGGGAACACGACCUCCUCCCUCCGACUGCUGUGAAGCGUCUCGGCUCUCGUCUCUUUCUGUUUUUAAUGUCAUAUGCUUUAUCGGCACGCAUGGAAGGUCAACAAUAUUUCUAAGGUGUAAAGAAUACGAUACAAAUUGAGUUGUGAGUAAUUGAGAUUAAACACGAGCAAGGAAAUGUGAAAAAUAAGUUGUACCUGAUGUACCUGAACGUGUCAGGCUGGGCUCUGUCUCACUCACUGGAGCGACAGAGUGCGUGUAUCUCUAGUAGCCUUAUUUUAAAAGUUCACAGGAAAAAAGACCAUAUCAACUAAAGAAUGAAUUAUUCAAGCUAAGCCUGCAUGGGAAACAACUGAUGAAGAAAAGAGAGGAGAAUGAGUGUGGGAGCCACAGGAAUGCACGUGUAAAGGAGAAAGAUAUAGGGAGGACGAGCAGCAAAGGGCAGCAGGCCACAGUUGAACCCAGAUCACCAAGGGAAAAAGAGCCUCACAGCAUAACCUCCGCCCUGUGAGCCACUUGUGCAGCCCAUUUAACCCACAGUGAGAGUGGAAUUCCAACAGAGAAAACCAGAGAAGUUGUCAUCCGAUGUCUCAUUGAUCACCUCGGCGAGGAUGUGGGUGCCUUAAUCAAGGAGUUUGAGAAUCUUGAUGAUUCAGCCGUCAAUGUGGAAGAAGAGCUGGCAGCAGAGACGAUGGCUCUGUACCUUGUGCGUAAUGAAGAUGUAGGGAUCGUCAUUGAGGCUUCCAUCGUACUCAACCACCUUGGGGAUCUCAGCAGAGCCUGCUGCUACUUGCUUGGACUAAUUUAUGCCUUGGACCUCAAACACCCCAAAACUCUGAAAUACAUUUUUGAAGUAUUUCAAAAGAUGCUCGUUGAAGUGGAUGCUGGAAACCUGCCACCAAAGGUGCAACGACUGAAAAACAAUGUAAUGAUAUAGUUGUCUGUGGGGUAGAUGAGCACAGAUGAGACUCAUACCCAACUGAACCAUGCGUGUAAAAAACAGACUGUACCCUCAGUCAUUAGUGAGGUUCUUCUGGACAGAAACUUGGACAAUCUAUGGCUUCAUUUUGUCAAACCACCUCCAGGUGUUGUCUGACUGAGUGCAUGAUCUGAUGUUUGUUUGAUUGUACAUUUACAUUUUGCAUUAAUACGUUUUAUUUUUUUCUUUGAUCAUUCCUGUGAGGCACGAGGCAUCCGAUUUUUGAGUUUCAAGUCAAGAGUUUGGAGGCAGUUUCACCAGAAGUGACUUAAAUGUUGUACUUCUAAAGGAGAAAGUAGUUUUUGUAUUUUCAGUUUGGAGUUUCUGUAAUUGUGAGAAAUGCAGGUGUUUAAAAAAGCACAAGAGAUGACCAAUGUAUUGUCAUAUCUAAAUGUGAAGCCAAAUAUGCUGUGGAGAUGAUUUUGCCCUUGUGUCACAGAUUGUGAUAGGCCCAGGUACUGUUCAUCAAUGUGUUUAGUGUGAAGAAAACCCUUGCAUUAAUAUGCAUCUUUAAUAUGUAGCUUUUUUUUUUCAUGGCCAUUUGGCAAGAAGCAUUUUAGUUCAGAGGCUUUUGA